AGAGUUUGAUCAUGGCUCAGAUUGAACGCUGGCGGCAGGCUUAACACAUGCAAGUCGAGCGGAGAUGAGGUGCUUGCACCUUAUCUUAGCGGCGGACGGGUGAGUAAUGCUUAGGAAUCUGCCUAUUAGUGGGGGACAACAUUCCGAAAGGAAUGCUAAUACCGCAUACGUCCUACGGGAGAAAGCAGGGGAUCUUCGGACCUUGCGCUAGUAGAUGAGCCUAAGUCGGAUUAGCUAGUUGGUGGGGUAAAGGCCUACCAAGGCGACGAUCUGUAGCGGGUCUGAGAGGAUGAUCCGCCACACUGGGACUGAGACACGGCCCAGACUCCUACGGGAGGCAGCAGUGGGGAAUAUUGGACAAUGGGGGGAACCCUGAUCCAGCCAUGGCCGCGUGUGUGAAGAAGGCCUUAUAGUUGUAAAGCACUUUAAGCGAGGAGGAGGCUACUGAGACUAAUACUCUUGGAUAGUGGACGUUACUCGCAGAAUAAGCACCGGCUAACUCUGUGCCAGCAGCCGCGGUAAUACAGAGGGUGCGAGCGUUAAUCGGAUUUACUGGGCGUAAAGCGUGCGUAGGCGGCUGAUUAAGUCGGAUGUGAAAUCCCCGAGCUUAACUUAGGAAUUGCAUUCGAUACUGGUCAGCUAGAGUAUGGGAGAGGAUGGUAGAAUUCCAGGUGUAGCGGUGAAAUGCGUAGAGAUCUGGAGGAAUACCGAUGGCGAAGGCAGCCAUCUGGCCUAAUACUGACGC
rnacentral:rRNA from 1 species